rnacentral:tRNA from 1 species
GGCCUGGUGGUCUAGCGGUAUGAUUGUCGCUUCGGGAUUUAUUUCCUGUCGUCUUAGACGGCGUGAAUGUAACAGGCCCCGGGUUCGAAUCCCGGCCAGGCCC